rnacentral:tRNA from 1 species
GGUACGGUAGUUUAAUAAAAAAUUUUAGAUUGCAAAUCUAGAGAUAAGAAAUCACUUUUUCUUCCUUACUU